rnacentral:rRNA from 1 species
UACGUAGGGGGCAAGCGUUGUCCGGAUUUACUGGGCGUAAAGAGCGUGUAGGCGGCCACGCAGGUCCGUUGUGAAAACUGGAGGCUCAACCUCCAGCUGUCGACGGAAACCGUAUGGCUAGAGUCCGGAAGAGGAGAGUGGAAUUCCUGGUGUAGCGGUGAAAUGCGCAGAAAUCAGGAAGAACACCAAUGGCGAAGGCAGCUCUCUGGGACGGUACUGACGCUGAGACGCGAAAGCGUGGGGAGCGAACAGG